GAAAUCUUCUGGUUUCAGCCUUUUUAUUGCUUAGUUCCAUGAUUUCAGUAAAAAGGGAACUACACAGUUGCAAGUGUGUGAGGUGUUGAAGACAAACUAUAUAACUGCACUCACAACUCAGACCUUGACCCACGACAUUGGAGCCUUGUUUGAUCAUGGCUGUCAAUAACACUUGUUCAAUUGGAAAUUACUCCAAUGACACAAACAGAUGUUUGGACCCCAGCUCCUCUCAUGGUCAGGUCUGGGGGCUGACACUCUUCUUUCUCCUGCUUGUGAUUGUAGCUGGUGUAAUCAUGUACAAAUACCACAGUAAAAUCAUGUUGCCGUUUGGACGUACAAGAAGCCAGAAGAAGGAGGACUUUACAGAGCCGGCACACGUUGAUUCCCACCAGUAUACCAGUAUGACAGAACAUUCAAUAGGACAGACCCCUAUCUAUGAAAACUUGACAACUCAAACUACUGGAUACAACAGGUGCUCAGAGAGCAGGUUGUCCAGUCAACAUGAAGAGGAUUUGUACUUGCAGUGUGAUAUACCAGAUGAUGCAAUAUACAGCAAUGAUCCAGCAUGCAACCUCUCCAUCCUCCCAGACUACCAAGAAGAAGACGUGUAUAUUAUGCCAGAUUCAUGAUAAGAAACAUCUCUAUUCACAUCUGCAUGUUUUUACUCUAUUUACUACAUUGAUCAUUGUAUAAAUGUAUAUUUUUAUAAGGCCAAAAUAUGCUGUUGCUUUUUGAUACAUACUGUAGUGUCUAUAUAUGCAGUAUACAGUAUUUCAAAGAUAUAUUUCAUUAUUGUACAUCAUCUAUAACGUUAGGAAUGGAAUAAUAUGCAUAAAUUGUUACAUAUGUUUUCUUAUAUUUUGCUGUUUUUACACAUCUUUGGUUGCUGCUAUUUUUGGCACAGUGCAUUUAAGAUUGUAUUGGACUUGCUGCACAAAUAACCACAUUUUGAAAACAAUCCAAGUUAAUCAAUUUCAUGAUAAGAUCUGAUUGUUUUAUGGCAUUCUCUGGAUACGUCUGGAAAUACUGAUGAAUCACUUUUAAUUUUGACCUUAAGUGUGAGCGAUUUCUUCACCCUUCUGUGGUAAUGUCAUGCAUGUAUUCUGCUGUCCUUGUUUGCAUUUUUGCGUUUGGCCCUCCAUUAGAUUUAGAAACAUUUUAGCAGCAGAGAAAAUGUAUAUUUAAGUGUUGUUGUUUUCUUGUAAUAGUUUUAAACAGGUUUAAAAUAAAACAUCUACAAAUACAAAUAGCUUUUUUAAUACACUGAAAAACUGAAAAGAGGUAUGUGAAUGUGGAAAUAUGCUCCACGUGUAAGCGCAUGCCUUAGUAUGUAGACAUAUGCACUUAUAUGCGUGGAUGGGUAUAGUAUUCAUUAUGUUUUAUAGAAUAGUUUCCAUUUAUUGAGGUUCUUUAUGUGAUCAAUAAACAUUUGCCAUUAGCACAUUU